rnacentral:rRNA from 1 species
AUGUGGAGACCGUUCAGGCAGCUCAUGCCCAAAGAGCAUUCCGGGCCUUCUGGCGGCCUCGAGGGCCGAACCAUCGAUGUCGGCAAUGUGAAGGUGCACGUCCGGGAAGCCAUUGCUGAGGGUGGGUUCUCGUGCGUGUACCUCGCCCGGGACCUGACCAACCCAGCAAAGAAGUACGCGCUCAAGCACGUCAUUGCCCAGGACAAGGAGUCGCUGGACCUGGUGCAGAAGGAGAUCACGGUGAUGAGGGCGCUCAAGGGGCACCCGAACGUGGUCACGCUCGUUGCGCACGCCAUAAUGGAUAUGGGCCGUGGGAGGGAGGCGCUUCUGCUGAUGGAGUUCUGCGAGAGAUCGCUGGUUUCUGCCUUGGACACUAGAGGUACUGCAGGGUUCUAUGAUGAGGAGCAGGUUGCUCUCAUCUUCCGGGAUGUUUGCAAUGCGGUGUUCGCGAUGCACUGCCAGACACCACCUGUUGCUCACAGGGACCUAAAGGCCGAAAAUGUGCUUCUUGGUGCUGACGGGGCUUGGAAAUUAUGUGAUUUUGGUAGUGUAUCAACAAACCAUAAGUGCUUUGAUAAACCAGAGGAGAGGGGCAUUGAAGAAGAUGUCAUCAGAAAGCAUACAACUCCUGCUUAUAGGGCUCCUGAGAUGUGGGACUUGUACAGGAGGGAAGUUAUUAGUGAGAAAGUAGAUAUAUGGGCUCUUGGAUGUCUCAUGUAUAGAAUCUGCUACUUAAAAUCAGCUUUUGGUUUAGAAUCAAAGCUUCAGAUCCUCAAUGGGAACUAUCGUAUCCCUGAAUUACCGAAGUACUGUUCUUCCAUUACAAGUCUGAUCGAAGAGAUGCUUCAGUCCUCUCCAGAUGCCAGACCAGACAUUACACAGGUAUGGUUUCGUGUUAAUGAGUUACUUCCUUUGGAGCUGCAAAAGGAUUUACCUGAUGGAUCCCCAUCUGGAUCAGCAUUUGAAUUGCAAACUACUGAGGAUGAAGGACCUUCUUCAUCACGGUCAAGAGACAAUGUGAGAAAUACACCUCCGAAAGGUCCUUCCAUUUUGAGGUCACAAGUUCCUGCUGAGAGUAAGGGUUCUGCAGGUGCAUUUUGGUCAACUCAACAUGCACAAGAACUAGCUUUUGCGGAUGACAAGGGGUCAGUUCUAGAUCAAGAGCCCAUACAUGAUGGCAUAGCAAAGCAACCUCAGGCAAAGAACCAGAACACAACACGGAAUGCAUACAGACAGUCUCUUUCUGCUUCUGUUGAUAGUUCUCCUGGGGAUUUUGAAAUAAGGUUUUCUCCAAAUGGUUCAGAAUAUGGCCUAGAGAAAACCCAAAACACUAAACCAGAUAACAAAACCAGUGCACAGACUGCCACUUUUAGCUCCUUUGUGGCAGACUUUGAUAAUGUUAAGGUGAGCUCAGAGGACAAUGCCGGUAGUUUAAACGCGGCAAGUAAAUUGAAAGGACAACAGCUGGAGGCCGAAGUAACUUUACUCAAGGAGCAAUUGAAGAUAGCAAACUUAGAGAAGGAAGAAAUCUCACUGAAGUUUGAUAGAUUGUCAGCCAUUUGCUCCUCUCAGAGGCGGGAGAUACAGGAACUUAAACAAGCGCUAGCCACAACUUCUGCACCAGUGCCAGUUAAGGAGUUGAAAGAAAAUUUGAAGGCUGAAUUCUCCCCACCCAGCACAAGCCUUGACACUCCGCCAAGGGAGAAGAUUGCAGGAACCCCACCAGAGCUCCGGCAAGGUCUAUUUACAUCAAGUCCAGGGACAGCAAGCCCAGAUCCCAAGCCAUGGUCCGCUUUCCCUGAAGAGCCGAAAGCUCAAGCAGCUGUAAAAAGUGCCCACCCGAGGUCGGUCCGAACUUUAAGGGCAUCACAAAGCAACAAAGCCGGCUCGCUUAAUCAGUCAAAAACAAACUCUGGUGCCGACCCCUUUGCCUUCGGUCAAGAUAGCUUUAAGGCUGUACCUUCUGGCACCGUGCCUUCUGAGAUGUCAAAUUUGGGGAAUGCUUCUCAGUCCCUCAACACUCUUAAGGCUGAAGUGGAGAAAGAUGCACCCUACCAACCAGCUGGAUGGACUGGGUUUUAA